CCUACGGGAGGCAGCAGUGGGGAAUAUUGCACAAUGGGGGAAACCCUGAUGCAGCAACGCCGCGUGAGUGAUGACGGUCUUCGGAUUGUAAAACUCUGUCUUCAGGGACGAUAAUGACGGUACCAAAGGAGGAAGCCACGGCUAACUACGUGCCAGCAGCCGCGGUAAU
rnacentral:rRNA from 1 species